GAUGAACGCUGGCGGCGUGCUUAAUACAUGCAAGUCGAACGGAGUAUGUAGCGAUAUAUACUUAGUGGCGAACGGGUGAGUAACGCGUGGGUAACCUGCCCCUGAAUCUGGAAUAACUUCGCGAAAGCGAGGCUAAUACUGGAUAUUGUCCCAGGGACCUCGGUCCUUGUGAUGAAAGAUGACCUCUUCACGAAAGUUGUCGUUCAGGGAGGGGCCCGCGUACCAUUAGCUAGUUGGUAGGGUAAUGGCCUACCAAGGCGAUGAUGGUUAGCUGGUCUGAGAGGAUGACCAGCCACACUGGCACUGAAACACGGGCCAGACUCCUACGGGUGGCAG
rnacentral:rRNA from 1 species